CAAUAGCGUAUAUUUAAGUUGUUGCAGUUAAAAAGCUCGUAGUUGGAUUUCGGAUGGGACUUGCCGGUCCGUCGUUUCGAUGUGCACUGGCCAGUCCUAUCUUGUUGUCGGGGACUAGCUCCUGGGCUUCACUGUCCGGGACUAGGAGCUGACGAGGUUACUUUGAGAAAAUUAGAGUGUUCAAAGCAAGCCUACGCUCUGAAUACAUUAGCAUGGAAUAACACGAUAGGACUCUGGCUUAUCUUGUUGGUCUGUGAGACCAGAGUAAUGAUUAAGAGGGACAGUCGGGGGCAUUCGUAUUUCAUUGUCAGAGGUGAAAUUCUUGGAUUUAUGAAAGACGAACUUCUGCGAAAGCAUUUGUCAAGGAUGUUUUCAUUAA
rnacentral:rRNA from 1 species